rnacentral:rRNA from 1 species
UACGUAGGGGGGCGAGCGUUGUCCGGAUUCAUUGGGCGUAAAGCGCUUUAAGGCGGUUCGGUAAGUCGGGUGUGAAACCUCCAGGCUCAACCUGGAGACGCCACUCGAUACUGCUGUGACUAGAGUUCGGUAGGGGAUCACGGAAUUCCUGGUGUAGCGGUGAAAUGCGUAGAGAUCAGGAAGAACACCAGUGGCGAAGGCGCUCUGCUAGGCCGUAACUGACACUGAGGGACGAAAAGCUAGGGGGAGCGAAUGGG